rnacentral:rRNA from 1 species
AGCUCCAAUAGCGUAUAUUAAAGUUGUUGCGGUUAAAAGCUCGUAGUUGGAUUUCUGUCGAAGACCGCCGGUCCGCUCUAUGAGCGUGUAUCUGGUUGGGCUUUGGCAUCCUCAUGAAAGACGUCACUGUGCUUGAUUGCAUGGUGCGGAUUUCAUGACUUUUACUUUGAGGAAAUUAGAGUGUUCACGGCAGGCAUACGUCUUGAAUACAUUAGCAUGGAAUAAUAAUAUAGGAUCGAGGUUCUAUUUUGUUGGUUUCUAGAAUCACGAUAAUGAUUAAU